ACGGGUGAGGAACACGUAGGAAUCUACCUAGAAGAGCGGGACAACUUUGGGAAACCGGGGCUAAUACCGCAUAGUACAGAGAUGUUAAAGGGCUAGCAAUAGUCGCUUCUGGAUGAGCCUGCGGUCUAUCAGCUUGUUGGCGGGGUAACGGCCCACCAAGGCUACGACGGAUAGCCGGUCUGAGAGGAUGAUCGGCCACACUGGCACUGAGACACGGGCCAGACUCCUACGGGAGGCAGCAGUUAAGAAUCUUGCGCAAUGGGGGAAACCCUGACGCAGCGACGCCGCGUGAAGGAUGAAGGCUUUCGGGUUGUAAACUUCGGUAGACUGGGAAGAAGAAAUACGUUCGUUGAGGGCGUAUAGUGACGGUACCAGUCUGAAGCCCCGGCUAAUUACGUGCCAGCAGCCGCGGUAAUACGUAUGGGGCAAGCGUUGUUCGGAAUUAUUGGGCGUAAAGGGCUCGCAGGUGGUUUGUUAAGUUGGUGGUUUAAUCUCUGGGCUCAACCCAGAGUCAGCCAUCAAAACUGGCGAACUUGAGUACGAUAGGGGAUAGCGGAAUUCUCGGUGUAGCGGUGGAAUGCGUAGA
rnacentral:rRNA from 1 species